UCCGGUGAUUAUGCUGGCGGGGAAACACCUCUUCCCAUUCCGAACAGAGAAGUUAAGCCCGCCGAGGCCGAUGGUACUUGGGGGGAGACCCCCUGGGAGAGUAGGAAAUUGCCGGGA
rnacentral:rRNA from 1 species